rnacentral:misc_RNA from 1 species
AGACUAUAUCGGAGCGAAAAAGUAUGUCGGCUACAACGCAUGACAGGCAAACGUGUGUGCAUAUACAAGUGGUGCGUACCUUUUGAAAAGUUUAAAAAAAAACGAAGACGCGGCACGAUCGCGUCGCCUUUUAGUACGGCCAAGAUAUUCGGAACGUUCGCCAGUGAUUCGCAAUGGGGCAAUAUCAUCUACCGGGAUAAAACAAUGGCGUAAAGUCGUUCGCAGGUUUUACGAAUGCGGAUACAUCUCGAAAGUAUUUAUAUCGCAAGUGGAACAUUGAGAAUGGCUUUUGAGGUUAUCGCGUCAGAAGGCAAGGAGGACUGAUCUCUGCAUGGUGAUCCACUGCGAGUACGACGUUAAGUAGUUCAGUUAUUGGCCGUAUCUAGUCAGAAACCAGCCUUCAAAUGACCGAAGAAAUAGAGUUAAAUCAGUCGCGAAAGAAUCGCGUCUAUUAUGCAGCGAGGGAUGGAAUGUCGAUCACCCUCUACGCCCUUCUCAGCGGCACUUCAGAUGAGGAGGCCUAUUCCCUCAUUAACCAGAAAGUGUUGGACGAAGAAGGGGAACAGUACACGCCCUUAAUAGUUGCUGCAAGAUAUGGACAUAAUAAGGUUGUUAAAAUAUUAAUAGAAAAAUUCAAGGAACUCGAUUUGGAGCAACAAGGCACUGUUAAAUUUGAUGGCUACGUAAUACAAGGAGCGACUGCUCUUUGGUGUGCUGCAGGUGCUGGUCAUUUAAAUGUCGUUAAAACUCUUGUUCAGGCCGGAGCAAACGUUAACUAUGCGACACAAGCGAAUUCUACACCCCUCCGCGCUGCUUGUUUCGAUGGAAGAUUAGACAUUGUAAAAUAUUUAAUAGAUCACAAUGCUGAUAUAAACAUUGCUAAUAUGUACAACAAUACUUGUCUGAUGAUCGCAGUUUAUAAGGGACACAUCGAUGUCGUGAAUUUUCUGUUAUACAAUGGAGCCAACCCAAAUGAGAAAGCUAAUUGUGGGGCCACUGCCUUGCAUUUUGCUGCUGAAUGUGGUCACACCAAAAUUGUUAUAGAACUGCUCAAUUAUGGAACAAAAAUGACAAAGAAUGUUAACGGUGUGACACCUCUGAUUACUGCUGCUGAACGUGCGAGAAGAGAAAUAGUAGAGUGCCUUGUAGAAUUGGAUGAAGUUACUAAAGAGGAAGUCAUUGAAGCAUAUGAAUUGCUGGGUGCAUCCUAUGCCAAUGAUAAGGAUAACUAUUGCAUUGACAGAGCAUACAAGUACCUGCAGAAAGCAAUGACUUUAAGAUACAGUGAUCCUGAAAAUAUUAUAUACAAAAAAGUAUGUAAACCUGUACCUGCAUACGAAAAUUGGAGAGAGAGCGAGACUUUGGAAGCUUUAGAGAGAAUUAAAGGGAAUAACAGCGCACUUCACAUGGAAUCCCUUGCUAUAAGAGAAAGGAUAUUAGGAACUCACAAUCCUGAAGUACCCCAUCCUAUAAUAUACAGAGGAGCUGUUUUCGCAGACAAUGACAGAUUUGACAGGUGUAUUGACUUAUGGCUCCAUGCCUUGGAGUUGAGACAACUAAAUAACAAGUCUGUCAUGAAAGAUCUUCUGCGCUUUGCACAAGUAUUCUCUCAAGUAAUCCAUGCUGGCGUCGAUCUCCAAUUCACGCAAGUUGUUAAAGUCUUAGAAGCGAGUGUGAUUGAGUUAGGAAGGAAUAAGAUCAAGAUGAAUAAACCGGACUCUAAGGAUGACAUUAAUCAGUACAUUGAAGAAACUGAAUCAAAUAUCACAACAACGCUGUAUAUUCUAACGAUCUUAACGAAAUUGAUGACCCUGAACGAGAAGGAAUACGACGAGGCAGAAAUCAACAAUGUUCAUUAUUUAGUGCACAGAUUGUGUGCACUGCGCAUGAGCCUCAGAGAUGGACAGACUCUUUUGCAUCUGGCUGUGAAUGCUGAAACACCUGUCGACGAUUUUCACACUAACGAUGUUUGCAAAUUUCCUUGCGCUGCGACAGCAAAAUUAUUAAUUCAGUGUGGCGCCGAUGUGAAUGCCAUGGACAAUGAAAGAAACACACCGCUCCAUAUAAUUGUUAGUUACCAGAAGUCAAUAAGUGAUUUUUUGACGUUGCACACCAUCGUCAUAGAAUUAAUUAAUGCCGGGGCACAUAUGGAUAUUGUCAAUAGUCAAGGAAAAACACCUUACGACGCUGCUACGACGGGCGUGGCAGAGAUAAUAUUGCGGACACAGACAAAGUUGUCUUUGAAGUGUAUGGCGGCGAAAGUAGUCAAGACUUAUAAUCUGUCUUAUGUUGGUACCGUUCCUCGUUCUUUGGAGAGCUUUAUAGAACUUCACGGACCUGGGCUCAAUCAAGUUCUGUUAAGUAUUUACAGACUUCUAUAAAUAUAUAAGUUCUGUGUACAAACGUUUCUGUGAAAGAAGAAAAAAUGCCGUGCGAAAUGAUAACAUUGCAACUUGGCCAAUGCGGCAAUCAAAUUGGCUUCGAAUUUUGGAAGAGGCUCUGUGCAGAGCACGGUAUCAGUCCUGAAGGUAUUUUGGAAGAUUAUGCGACUGAGGGGACUGACCGAAAAGAU